GGAGCAUCGGUGAUGAUUUCUUAGAAACGUUAUCCUUGCACUAUGAUUGCCCGUGAAGAAAGUAUGGGGAAUAUUAAUCUGAGAUGCUU